UACGUAGGGGGGCAAGCGUUGUCCGGAUUUAUUGGGCGUAAAGAGCGUGUAGGCGGCCAGACAGGUCCACUGUGAAAACUCGAGGCUCAACCUCGAGAGGUCGGUGGAAACCGUCUGGCUAGAGUCCGGAAGAGGAGAGUGGAAUUCCCGGUGUAGCGGUGGAAUGCGCAGAUAUCAGGAGGAACACCAAUAGCGAAGGCAGCUCGCUGGGACGGUACUGACGCUAAGGCGCGAAAGCGUGGGGAGCGAACAGG
rnacentral:rRNA from 1 species